UGGGUUGGCCAAAAUGUACAUUCCAGGUUUUCCAUACAAUGUCACAGGAAAACCCGAACGACCUUUUUGGUCAACCCAAUAUU
rnacentral:miRNA from 1 species